rnacentral:lncRNA from 1 species
GUCUUCUAUGUGCUUUCAUUGUCAGAGCCCUGUGUAAAGUCAUUGGCGACCAACCAGAAAUGUGGGAUGAGUAUCUGGAUGCUGUAAUGUUUGGACUCAGAACUAAAAAACAAGUGACCACCAAAUACUCACCUUAUUACCUAAUGUUUGGCAGAGAGGCUCGCUAUCCUUCCGAAAUCCCAGAAGAGUUCAUGGUAUGUCUUUCUGUCUGUGACAAACUACACGGAAAUCCCACACAACGAAACUUUUUUUAGUUUUUGAGGCACAGGCAGAUCAGUUUCAAUGGAUGCUAUGUCACCGCCAUAAAAGCACUACACCAUUGAAUAUUUUUAUGGAUUGUUCAAACCCUCAAUAACAGUUUUCUUCAUGUCCAAUCAAUCCCAAGAUACACUGAAGCUUUGCCAGAAAUACAUUGUGUCUUAAAACCUUACCAAAGACACUUAAUGUAAAUUUUCACUGUAUUUCUCAGUUCUUUUAUGUAUUAUCUGUGUAUCUUACACAAAUUAUAGUAAUGAUAGACAUGUCUUUUGAUUCAAAGGUUGAUGAGAGUGUGGAAGACAUUGUGGGGCAGGAGGAGCUGUCGGAAGACAUUCAAAAGCAUCAAAAGCUGUUGGAACUGGUGAAGGACAAUGUGGUCAAAGCUCAGGAAAAAACAAAGGGCAAAAUAAAAAUGAUGACGAGAGAUGUCGUCUUCAAAGUUGGUGACAAAGUUUUAAGAGCUAACAUAAGAAGUCAGCAGAGGAAAGGGGGAAAACUUGAAGCAAACUUUUUAGGCCCUUACAUUAUUACAGCAAUCCAAGGUAAAAGUGCAGAUCUUCAGGAUUCCAAUGGGACAAUCAUUCCAAAAGUAAAUAUUGACCAACUAAAGUUAAGCAAAGACAGCAUGCCAAGAGUGCCACACCGGGGUUCAAAGAAAACAGCAGCCACAUUACCAACAGCACAACCAGGUCCAGCAGCACCACAAGCUGCAGCAGCACCAGCAUCUGCUCUAGCUUCACAGGCUACAGCAGCACCAGUGGCGGUAGCACCACCACCACCUCCUCCUAGAGCUACACAGCCUACAGCACCAAUGGCAUCACUUACAUCACUAUCGGUUCAAACACAACAUCCAUCUCCAGUUCCACAAGGUAUAGCAAUAACGGUAUCAGAUCCAGAGUCAGGAGCAACAGCACAGAAAGAGAACGAACCAGCCACAAGUGCUACAGCACCAGAAUAUGCUACAGCUGUACAAACCGAAUCCCAAACAGCAGCAGACCCAGCCUCAAAGACCAUAACAGCAGACCAGGCCUCACAAACCACAACAGCAGACCAGGCCUCACAAACCACAACAGCAGACCCAGCCUCACAAACCACAACAGCAGACCAGGCCUCACAAACCACAACGGCAGCAGACCCAGCAUCACAGACCACAACGGCAGCAGACCCAUCCUCACAGACCACAGCUCCAAAUGCUACAACCACACAAGCCUCAGCUCCACAGAUUACAGCCCAGCAAUCUACAGCACAAACCAUGGAAGCAACAGUUCCACUUGUGACACCAGCCCCAGCAACAGCCACACAAGCUAGCCCUGCACCACCUCCAGCAUCACCCUCUCAGAGAUACACUGAACCUGUUGCAGAGAAAUAUAUAAUGGAUGCCUGGGCUGGAAAGAGUCCUCACGUUCUACUCUCCAAAAUUGGUGCUUACAAAUUAUUCUACUGGGAUAUCCAACAAAUUGGUCCGGACAUGGAGUUGGAAAGUGAGGUACAGUGA